rnacentral:lncRNA from 1 species
UAGCUCAGCGUCAGAACGGAGCAGAGCAGAAUGGAAUAACAUCAAUUUCAAUCGUUCAGUUGUCAGAGCCGCAGAAGCCAUCCCAUCCCGCUGCCUGCCAUGCUCAGGGCUGAAAGCCGAACACACAAUUCAAGGCAUUCUCCAUUCCCUUUCUGGUGUGGGGAACCAACCGCCCUGCUCAGAACCUGCUCUGUGGUUUCAUCACCCUCACAGCAAAGACAUUCCUCCCAGCGCCCAGCGACUUCCAGCCAACAAAGACCUAAAUAUUCUCAGGGUGACAGAACGGACCGUUUCCUCCUCACAAGGCACUCACGUAUUCACAUUGCCAAGCUCAACGUGUGCUGGGAACAUGGAAGCCCACUUCAUCACUUCAAGGCCAGAGCAUCACCUCAUUUUCUGUUACCAGAACUACAGACCAUCGAGAAAACGAAAUGCCCAAACAGCAGACAGCACUUAUCUCCUGAUAAAUCUGAGCACUUUGUUCCAGUCGAGCAAUAUCUAAAACUCACACAGCAUUUCCCCCAGCCUCAACAUCCUAACAGCCAGUUUUACAAACAUUACAAGUUCCUUGGACUCCAUUCUAUCCACGCUUCGAGCAAAGCAGCACCACAAGAGAGGAUUUUUCCUGCUUGUUUUUUUUUAAACCUCUAAUUUAACCAGGCCUUUUUCAGUUCAUCUCUCAUUUGUUGAGACCUCUGAAGCCUGAAGGACCUGCAUUUCUGCAUCCAUGAGGAGAAAACAGCAUACAAGAGAAUUCACUUCUGCUCACACCGCCCAUCGAACCCUCUUGGUCCAUCUUCAAGCAAGAAGGACUGUAUGAGAAUAACUAUUAGAGAACUACCAGUGGUAAGAUUCAAUUCAAAGCAACAACCACGCUCUGAUCACUAGGGAAAUGCAUCUGGAUUUUAAAAAUUCUUCCAAGUCUACAAUUUCUGCUGCAAGGAAACAUAGGAAGUACUUGGAAAGGCAACACGUUCAUCUUUUAAAUGUCAGCGGUAAUACGGAAUGAAGAGGAAGCAGGCCAAUAAUACUCAUCAUCUCUAAAAAUACCAUAAAAUUCACCCUGUAUAAAGUACCUGGACCUUAAAAUUAACUUAUGCCCUAAUUAAAAAAGGAAAAUUAUUAACCCGUUCUCCAAUCAUGGAGAGAGCAGCCAGGUCUGCAGCAAGGCCUUGGCUCUGCACACUGUGUUUCAUCUAGCUAGCACCUCAGACCCUGCACAUAUCCACCAUGGCAAACAGUCAACACCAGCAACAGCACGGACCUCAGCUUUGCUCUGCACCAACUCAGC